rnacentral:rRNA from 1 species
AGUGAACGCUGGCGGUAGGCCUAACACAUGCAAGUCGAACGGCAGCACAGUAAGAGCUUGCUCUUACGGGUGGCGAGUGGCGGACGGGUGAGGAAUACAUCGGAAUCUACUUUUUCGUGGGGGUUAACGUAGGGAAACUUACGCUAAUACCGCAUACGCCCUUCGGGUGAAAGCAGGGGAUCUUCGGACCUUGCGCGAUUGAAUUAGCCGAUGUCGGAUUAGCUAGUUGGCGGGGUAAAGGCCCACCAAGUCGACGAUCCGUAGCUGGUCUGAGAGAAUGAUAAGCCACAUGGGAACUGAGACACGGUCAAGGCGCCUAAGGGAGGCAGCAGUGGGGAAUAUUGGGCAAUGGGCGCAAGCAUGAUCCAGCCAUACCGCGUGGGUGAAGAAGGCGUUCGGGUUGUAAAGACCUUUUGUUGGGAAAGAAAAGCAGCAGGUUAAUACCCCGCUGUUCUGACGGUACCCAAAGAAUAAGCACCGGCUAACUUCGUG